rnacentral:lncRNA from 1 species
CCAUUGCAGUUUUUCUAAGAAUGCUUUACCUAAUGGCCUUUGCCAAAGAUAAUCUUGGUGGGAUUGACAAUCUGGUGAUUUGCUCAUGGGACCCAGCACUGUGGCUUGCUUGCUCCAUCCUAUUUAAUUCUAUGGUGAUGUCUAGAAAGCUUCAUCAACUCCUGCUGACUCAGUCACCUCUUCCAAAUUUUCGAGCUGAUGUCCAGAUGGCAGGCAAAGUCCUCCACGGGGAUUCUCAGGUGAUGCAUAAGCAAAGUGGCACUCUGUCUGCCAGUUUCCCCACGACCGAACUCUGGAUGCCUCUUGGGAGAUAUCAGUAGUUUCCCUUUGCAGAAGAGACUGACUCCUGUCUGCCAGAGCGAUUCAGUCACCUGCCACUCAUCCCUGCUGAAGGGACUCUUCCCCCACCAGCUCUGGGAACGGCAGACUUCUGUGCAGUGUGAGGGAGCGCCUAGCAAAAUGCCAUCUUUAGUUGGCUGGUUGGUUCUCUGCCCCACGUCAAUGGAGCAUGGUCCGGCUCGAGGUCCUGUGGCUCCCUGCUGGGGACUGUCCUUCAUGUUCAGAGAGCCUCUCCUGCCGGAGGAGGGGCCAGGGCUGCCUGCCAUAGUUUACUUCACCAUUGUCUCUCCUCUAAAUGAUGACAGAUGUGGCAGAGGAAGGAGUCACCCACCCGUUGAAGCUGGCUGCUCGUAAGAGUAAUGGGGGUGGAAGUGGAGGAGGGACAGAAUGCAGGGCAAGGCUAAGUCUUUCCUCCUUCACAGGAAUAGAAAUAACUCAACCAAGGCUGACGAACAGCUCUCUGGGUGUCUUCUAAAAAAUAAAAUAUACAAACCAGCAUUGAAAACA